rnacentral:misc_RNA from 1 species
AAAAGUGUCAAGAUCAAAAUUAUCACUGCAACUUCCAACUCACAAUUUCCUCUCUCACCCUCAAACGUAAAACAAUUCCAUCAAAACCCUAAAUUUGCCAACUGCCUCCGCCCUCAGCGGCUCAGCUGCCACUAAAUUUUCCGAUUUGCAGAUCUCUUUCAACUUCGGAUACUGUGCUUGCAGUAUAGAGACUCUCGUCAACCUUCAUCUCCCUCUCUUACUGCUUCAAAGAAAAAACUUUGUUCUCUCCGAAACCUAAAUUUCUCCUGUUCCAUCUCUAAUUCGGUAAGUGCAUAGAACGAAACCGAUAAAUGAAAGAUUGGAUUCAUUUCGGGGCAUCGGAUUCUUUUGGGAUUUUAAUGUGGUGAGAUGAGAAUUCAGUGGUUGGUUUCAAUGUUAGACUUGUAUAGGCGUUGAUUUCAAGUGGUCAGUUCUUAUCUUUCAUUGUGUAUUUCAAUUGGUGUUCAUUUUGAGCAUUGAAAUGUGAUUGGAUUGACCAAAGUUUCCUACAUAGUUCGAUACAGCUCUCAGAAAAGUUGGAGGGCUCUAAAGAAAAAAAAAAUGUAAAAGGGGAAGAGGGAUGGUAAUGGAGUAGUAUAGUUUGGCCCUUUUAUAUGUGAUUGAAAAAGAACUAUUGCUUUAUUCUUUGUGUCUUAGUUAUCCAUCGAAUUCCUUAAAUUGGAAAAUAAUUGGCUUGUUAGGUUAUUUCUUUCUGCAAUCUGAAAAGGAAACUCAAAGUCGAAUGGAGUAUAUGGGUCAGUAUAAAAUGCUUCCUCCAGAAUCUGGAACUUUUCAAGAUCGUGAAGAGCUCAUAAAAUAUGUUCGUGACUUUGGGGCUAGUCAAGGAUAUGUGGUAACCAUUAAAAAGUCUAGGAAGGACCGGAGAGUUAUCCUUGGUUGUGAUAGAGGAGGUGUUUAUCGUAAUAGGCGCAAGAUUGAAGAAAGCCAGCGUAAAAGAAAAGCAUGUUCACGGCUUAUAAAUUGUCCAUUUGAAGCAAUUGGUAAGAAGGAAGAUGAUUUGUGGGUACUUACUAUUAAAAAUGGAGACCACAACCAUGAACCUUUAAAAGACAUGUCAGAGCAUCCUUAUAGUCGUCGAUUUUCUGAAGAGGAGGUUAGGCAAAUUAAAAUGAUGACUGAUGCUGGUGUAAAACCGCGACAAGUCCUGAAAGCACUUAAGCAAAGCAAUCCUGAGUUGCAGUCAACACCUAGACAUUUGUACAACCUCAAAGCUAAGAUUCGUCUAGGAAAUUUAUCAGAGAAAAGUUUGAAGUCAUGGAGACCUAACAGAUCUGUUCCUGUAAACACAAGGACUACUCCCUCUGAAGGGUCGCUAAAGCAAAACAACCAGCCUCUGAAAGUUCCUAAUUUUAUUGGAGGAAAAUUUGUCGAGUCACAAGGGUCUACUAUAAUUGAUGUGAUAAAUCCUGCAACACAAGAGGUUGUUUCUGAAGUUCCGUUAACCACCUAUGAAGAGUUCAAGGAUGCAGUUAUUGCAGCAAAGAAAGCUUUUCCUUCAUGGAAGAACACCCCAAUUGCCACUCGUCAACGCAUCAUGUUCAAACUCCAGGAGCUUAUUCACAGGGAUAUGGAUAAGCUUGCAAUGAAUAUUACCUUAGAACAGGGUAAGACACUCAAAGGUGCCCAGGGUGAUGUACUUCGUGGUUUAGAGGUAGUUGAGCAUGCCUGUGGAAUGGCAACUUUGCAAAUGGGGGAGUUUGUUCCUAAUGCAUGCAAUGGAAUUGAUACAUACUGCAUUAGAGAACCACUUGGUGUUUGUGCUGGGAUAUGCCCUUUUAACUUUCCAGCUAUGAUUGCCUUGUGGAUGUUCCCCAUUGCUGUUACAUGUGGAAAUACAUUUGUUCUUAAGCCAUGUGAGAAAAAUCCAGGGGCCUCAAUGAUACUUGCAGCACUGGCUAUGGAGGCUGGUUUGCCUGAUGGUGUCUUAAAUAUUGUUCAUG